rnacentral:rRNA from 1 species
AUUGAACGCUGGCGGCAUGCCUUACACAUGCAAGUCGAACGGCAGCGCGGGGCAACCUGGCGGCGAGUGGCGAACGGGUGAGUAAUAUAUCGGAACAUACCCUAGAGUGGGGAUAACGUAGCGAAAGUUACGCUAAUACCGCAUACGCACUAAGGUGGAAAGUGGGGGAUUCGCAGGAACCUCAUGCUCAUGGAGUGGCCGAUAUCUGAUUAGCUAGUUGGUGAGGUAAAGGCUCACCAAGGCAACGAUCAGUAGCUGGUUUGAGAGAACGACCAGCCACACUGGAACUGAGACACGGUCCAGACUCCUACGGGAGGCAGCAGUGGGGAAUUUUGGACAAUGGGGAAACCCUGACGCAGCAACGCCGCGUGAGUGAGGAAGGACUUCGGUCUGUAAAGCUCUGUUAAUGUGGAAAAUGGUUAGCGGUCUAAUAGGCCGUUGAUUUGAUGGUACACAUAGAGGAAGCACCGGCUAACUUCGUGCCAGCAGCCGCG